UACGGAGGGUGCGAGCGUUAAUCGGAAUUACUGGGCGUAAAGCGUACGCAGGCGGUCAUUUAAGUCAGAUGUGAAAGCCCCGGGCUCAACCUGGGAACUGCAUUUGAAACUGAAUGACUAGAGUGCGGCAGAGGGUGGUAGAAUUUCAGGUGUAGCGGUGAAAUGCGUAGAGAUCUGAAGGAAUACCGAUGGCGAAGGCAGCCACCUGGGCCGACACUGACGCUCAUGUACGAAAGCGUGGGGAGCGAACGGG
rnacentral:rRNA from 1 species